rnacentral:lncRNA from 1 species
GGCAACCAGGAAAACAAGAACUAGCAGGAGUUUGACAAACGCCGGGAUUCAUUCACCUGCCUAUUGCUUCAUUCCUGGAAUUUGCACUGCACCUGUCUAAUUCAGGUAUUUGGAAAAAAACAAACUUUGACAUGUUUGUUCAUGAUCACUGCCCCCCCCCUUACAUACUUUGUGAUGGCAGCAGGGUGGGGGGAGAAUGCUUUUGUGCGGAAGGUAGUAGCACCGUAUCUCUUACUUCAAAAAAAUGUUCCUAUGAUAGUAGAGGAAAUAUUAGUACUUGUCAUGUCUUUUGAACUUAGAACUCCUAUUAACGCCCCUGAGACGCUCGCCGCACUCGUGGGGUGCUGGACACUUACAUAACAUUUCUGCUUUCCCCCACGCGCAUUUUGUACCUCCUCAGAACCACAGUUGUCACGGUUCAUUAUCUGUAGAUGAUCUUGAGCAGCCUUGCUCUCGAAAAGAAUAUGCCGUAGCAUCUGCCUCUGGGCUUCUGUGCCCUGCUGUACAGAUGACAUUUUCGCAGCAGUAUUGGGUAGGGCGGGAGAGGAGGCCGAAUUUGUCUCAGGCUGACGUUUCACAUACCAUGCCUUCCUCUUUCAUAUACGCCUAGUUCAACAGUAAAGUACAUACAUCACGUCGUGACUAUUACAUAUGUUCGGGUAUGUAAUUGGGGUUGUAAAGUAUCUGCUUGAAUGUCUUAACUAAUGAAUUCUAUCAAAUUCAAUUAUCAUUCUUGGACUCUUCAUUAACCAAUCAAAUUGCUUCUUUGGUCUGUCAUUUCUCACACCCUCUCACUCGGCAUAAACACAAUUCUCUGAAGUAAAUUGGAGGUGAUUAAAUUAUCUCACGGAUCGUUAUUGGGAGGCCCAUGUAACUGAAGUCUUGGAUUUCCAAAUAACCACCUUGCACGUGGUUCUCACUUGAGACAGGAGAAAUGUUAGCGUAUAAGGCUGUGUCUUGAACUUUAUUCCUCUGUUUGCAUCUUAGUUUCCCCACCUCCCGAGGAAGUUGGCUGCGGUAGGUCUCGAAUACUAAAAUCGCACAGAAAUAAACCAAGUCUACCUAUGAAUUCACCAUCUAAUUAAAUAAACCUGUCCAGUAAGCUUGUGUUAUAAUACACGUUCUUCUCCUUUGGGGAAUGAACCAUUUCAAUACUAGAAGUUUCUCCUAUCUCUGAAUCAGUUGGGUUAAGGAUCCGGCAUUGCUGUGAGCUGUGGUGUAGGUCACAGACAUGGCUUGGAUCUGGCAUUGCUGUGGCUCUGGCGUAGGCUCACAGUAACAGCUCUGGUUCGACCCCAAGCGUGGGAACCUCCAUAUGCUGCGAGUGCAGGCCUAAAAAGACACAACAAAAAAGAAAAGAAAAGAAAGGCUUUCUAUUCACGCCCUGAAACUACAUUUUUUAGCUUUUAGACUAUAGAUUAUCCAUUUUUUUGGUAUGGAUGCUGAAAUUUAGUUUUUGAAACUGAACCCAUAUUUGUUUAUAUGUCUCUCACAUAAUAGGAUUCUGGAUGAUGAGUGGUUUUCUGUGCACACGUGAAGGAUUAGAUACAUAUCUUUCUUUUUUCCAAAAAUGCCAUCAGCAUUGUCAGGCUCUGAAUAAUAUAGGUAGAAAACUGCCUCAAUAUUUCUGACAUUUCUUUUUUUAAAAAUAGCCACAAUGCAGAAUGAAUAAAUAUUAACAUUUCAUAAAGCGUGACCAUGAAAUAACAAAACUCCUUUUUUUUUUUUUUUCAAAAAAGCUCAUGUACUGAAAUUUAUAUUCAAAUGAAUGUUGCCCUUCGCUGAGGUCGCCUUGGAUUUCAGAAAUGCUGCCAUUGUUCAAAAUAUUUUGUUGGCACGUUUUGGGGUCUGUUUUUAGAGCCAAUUUAUGCACCCGGAAGCAUUCCUCAGUGAACACUGGGAAGGCAUUGUGUUUUUAUGAUCAGUGCAAAUGUGGAGGCAGACUUUCUGAGAUGCUAAUAAUUUAUUUUUUGCUUUUGUGAAUAUAUCUAUUUAUAUUUUUCAAAAGCACUAAGUUUACAGUCCUAAGAUACUCAGAAUGACAUUCUUUGCGUCCUUAGACUUGAGGUGUUUCUUUUGAUGAGUCUGUGCCCUCCUCAUGAAAUAUGUUUUUAUUCUAAAGACUACUCUUCUUUAUUCUAGACAAAAGAUAUGUCUAUCACAUAGGAGGAGGGCUCAGAGGCUCAUGGACUCUGAGGUCACACUUUGGUUUGAGGGCUUCAGAGACUAUUCAGGACAUUUGGACUCAUUAAAAAACAAACAGGAAACACAAAUGUUCAGGCUGGAUCAAGAAGUAUGGAUGGGCUCAUUGUUUUGUUCACAUCUUGUGAUAUCAUUUAGUCAUAUCUUUAUCCUUACUAGAACUCAUGGGAUUAUACCUAACCCCCCCUGCUCGGGGCUCUUUUACUGGAUAUGGAGCUUUACCAGAGCCUAUAGCACUCUGCAUACCUAGUUACUAUUUGAUAUUCACUUGCAUUAGGGAUGUACAAAAUGCCUCCUAAAGAGCCAGUGUAUACCAGGCCCACAUGGGUUCACUAGUGUAUUUUACCAAACAUUUCGGAGAGGAAUUAUACCAAUUCCCUAAAAUCUCUUCCAGAAGGUAGAAGCAGAGAGAAUACUUCCUAACUCAUUCUGUGAUGCUCAAAUUACCCUAAUGCCAAAACUAGAAAGCCAUUAAAAGAAUAUUGCUCCAAUAUCCCUCAUGAACAGAGAAGCAAAAGCCCUUAAUAAGAGCCAACCCACGGGCCAUCAUGCCAGAUAAAGGAGUGAUGGAGCUAUGGAGGGAUGUUUUGUUUCCACUUGAUGCUGUUCCUUUACUCAGCCAAAGAUUACUCUUCUGAGUACUAUCCUACAUGGUCACGAAGUCAGACAAGUUACCAUCCCUCGUUUUGCCAUUCACUUAUUAAUUCACUUUUCCAGCAACAUUUUGUCAGCAUAUACAAGGUGUCAGGCACUGUACUUGGUCCUGGGGAGUAAAUCAGCGAGCAAAAUAGGCCAAACCCCUGCCCUUGCGGAGCUUACAUUCUACUGGGCAAAGAGAUGACCAACACGAUAUGCAUGUGUUAGUGAUACAUGUUACACUCACGCCAUUCUUAGCACGUAUGUGGAGGUGAAAUGCACAGAGGUUGUUCAAGGUGCCUUAUAGAGCAGGUGGCUUCAUGUAAAACCCCAAAGGAUGUGAAGGAAAGAGUCUUGACAGUGUCUCCUGGAGAAGAGAAAGUAGAAGGGACAAGAAGACAAUUGCCGGGAGGCCAGGAAGGGUGAGAGAAGGGAGGUACUUGGAGGUCAAGUUGAAGUGAGGUGGAAACCCGGUCAUGAAGGGCCUUGUGGGAAAUAGCAGGGAGCUUGGAUUUUCCACUAAGUGUAGUGGGAAACCACUGGAGGGUGUUCACUGAGCAAAUGCUAUGAAAUGAUUGACUAGUUUAGAAAUUUAUUCUCGCUUCUAUGGAGAAAAUUAUAUUUAGGUGUCAAAAGUACAGGCAGAAAGACCAGUAGGACGUUUCUGCAGGGGUGCAGGAGAGGAAGCUCUCAGAAGGUCACUAGCUUUGAUCAGGCUCAUGGCAGAAUAAUGGGGAAAAGUAAAAAAAGGCUUUUGAGACAUAGCUUCCAAGUAGUACCUAUAUGACCUGUUGAUGGAUUGGUUAUAUGGAAUAAGAGAGUAUUAUCCUAGGAUAAGUAUUAUCCUAGGUUUCUGCCUUGAACAACUUAGUGAAGACUUUCACCAUAAUUGGGAAGAUUGAAAACAGAAUCAGAUAAAGGAGGGGGAAAAAGCUUUAUUUUUUACAUAGUAGGCUUGGUUUGAGGUUCUCACUGGACUUUCAUGGGAUGACAAAAAAGCUAUUAGACUGAGGAGGCUGGGCCCCAGGAGAAAAGAUUGGGAUGAAAAUAUCAAAAGAAGAUUUGUAGGUAACAUUCUGUUUUUCUCUUGCUGCCUUUAGGAUCCUCUCUUUAUCACUAACUUUUGCCAUUUUUAUUAUGAUGUGUCUUGGUGUGGGUCUGUUUGGGUUCANNNNNNNNNNNNNNNNNNNNNNNNNNNNNNNNNNNNNNNNNNNNNNNNNNNNNNNNNNNNNNNNNNNNNNNNNNNNNNNNNNNNNNNNNNNNNNNNNNNNNNNNNNNNNNNNNNNNNNNNNNNNNNNGAGCUUGGGCUUAUCAGACACAACUUAGAAUAGAUUUACAAGGAGAUCCUGCUGAAUAGCAUUGAGAACUAUGUCUAGAUACUCAUGUUGCAACAGAAGAAAGGGUGGGGGAAAAAAUCUAAUUGUAAUGUAUACGUGUAAGGAUAACCUGACCCCCUUGCUGUACAGUGGGAAAAUAAAAAAAAAUAUUAAAAAAA